CAUCCCAUAAUCAGCCUCCAAAUGCUGACACCAUUGCAUAUGUAAGACCCCCUUUCAGGGACCCCCACUCUAGUCUCAGGAGUGAGAGAGCACCCAAAGAAACACGAGGACCC
rnacentral:pre_miRNA from 7 species